GGGCUUAGAGAAGGGUUUUUAUUAGGACUCUUAAUCCAUUGGUCGAAGGUUCGAAUCCUUCAUGGCCCACCA
rnacentral:tRNA from 1 species